rnacentral:lncRNA from 1 species
AUCGAUUAAACAACUCCCAUAAAGUAAGUCUUAGUCGUACUACCUAAGUUACGCUAGACAUAUGAAGAAGUCUAAUUGUGAAUAUUUGUAGAAUCUUUGAUGUGCUUUACUUCAGAGCAUGUUGCCGUUCUUGUUUCAGUCCGUGAAUGCAGGGUAUUGUUUGACUCUAGCUAUAGGUCAGAGCUUCUAUUGUGCUGCUUCAGAGAUCGAUGGUGAAGAAGCUCGAACUAAAGUAGGUCUCCUGUUUCAGUUUGACAUUCAUUAUGCAGCUUAAUUAAAUGUAAAAUCUAUUUACAUUUUUCCACUCCUCCAGUAGCAUAUUCAAACUCAC